rnacentral:rRNA from 2 species
GGAUUAACGCUGGCGGCAUGCCUAAUACAUGCAAAUCGAACGAGGUUAGUUUACUAACCUAGUGGUGAACGGGUGAGUAACAAGUAUCCAAUCUGCCCUUAAGAUGGGAAUAACUGACCGAAAGGUUAGCUAAUGCCCAAUAAUAACAUUCUUAUCGCAUGAGAAAAUGUAGAAAGACGCCUUUAAAGCGUCGCUUUUGGAUGAGGGUGCUCCGUAUCAGAUAGUUGGUAGGGUAAAAGCCUACCAAGUCUAUGACGCGUAGCUGUACUGAGAGGUAGAACAGCCACAAUGGGACUGAGACACGGCCCAUACUCCUACGGGAGGCAGCAGUAGGGAAUUUUUCACAAUGGGCGCAAGCCUUAUGAAGCAAUGCCGCGUGAACGACGAAGGUCUUAUAGAUUGUAAAGUUCUUUUAUUUGGGAAGAAACGUUAUGAUAGGAAAUGAUUAUAACUUGACUGUACCUUUUGAAUAAGUAUCGGCUAACUAUGUGCCAGCAGCCGCGGUAAUACAUAGGAUGCAAGCGUUAUCCGGAUUUACUGGGCGUAAAACGAGCGCAGGCGGAUCUGCAAGUUUGGUAUUAAAUCUAUGUGCUCAACGCAUAGCUGUAUCAAAAACUGCAAAUCUAGAGUGUAGUAGAGAGUUGGGGAACUCCAUGUGGAGCGGUAAAAUGCGUAGAUAUAUGGAAGAACACCGGCGGCGAAGGCGCCAACUUAGACUAACACUGACGCUUAGGCUCGAAAGUGUGGGGAUCAAAUAGGAUUAGAUACCCUAGUAGUCCACACUGUAAACGAUCAUCAUUAAAUGUCGGCACGAACGUGUCGGUGUUGUAGCUAACGCAUUAAAUGAUGUGCCUGGGUAGUACAUUCGCAAGAAUGAAACUCAAACGGAAUUGACGGGGACCCGCACAAGUGGUGGAGCAUGUUGCUUAAUUUGACAAUACACGUAAAACCUUACCUAGGUUUGACAUCGAUUGCAAAGCUAUAGAAAUAUAGUAGAGGUUAACAAUCUGACAGGUGGUGCAUGGUUGUCGUCAGCUCGUGUCGUGAGAUGUUGGGUUAAGUCCCGCAACGAGCGCAACCCCUUUCGUUAGUUAUUUUUUAACGAUACUGCUACUGCAAAGUAGAGGAAGGUGGGGAUGACGUCAAAUCAUCAUGCCCCUUAUAUCUAGGGCUGCAAACGUGCUACAAUGGUUGAGACAAACUGCUGCAAAACUGUAAAGUCAAGCAAAUCAGACAAAAUCAAUCUCAGUUCGGAUAGAGGGCUGCAAUUCGCCCUCUUGAAGUUGGAAUCACUAGUAAUCGCGAAUCAGACAUGUCGCGGUGAAUACGUUCUCGGGUCUUGUACACACCGCCCGUCAAACUAUGGGAGCUGAUAAUAUCUGAAACCGUACUGUUAACCGCAAGGAGGCAUACGUCUAGGGUAGGAUUGGUGACUGGAGUUAAGUCGUAACAAGGUAUCCCUACGAGAACGUGGGGAUGGAUCACCUCCUUUCU